rnacentral:rRNA from 1 species
GACGAACGCUGGCGGCGUGCUUAACACAUGCAAGUCGAGCGGUAAGGCCCUUUCGGGGGUACACGAGCGGCGAACGGGUGAGUAACACGUGGGUGACCUGCCCUUAGCUCUGGGAUAAGCCUGGGAAACUGGGUCUAAUACCGGAUAUGACUCCAUGACGCAUGUUGUGGGGUGGAAAGCCUUGUGUGGCUAGGGAUGGGCCUGCGGCCUAUCAGCUUGUUGGUGGGGUGAUGGCCUACCAAGGCGACGACGGGUAGCCGGCCUGAGAGGGCGACCGGCCACACUGGGACUGAGACACGGCCCAGACUCCUACGGGAGGCAGCAGUGGGGAAUCUUGCGCAAUGGGCGAAAGCCUGACGCAGCGACGCCGCGUGGGGAUGACGGCCUCGGUU